CUGGAGUGGGGCGCGCCAACGGACACGGGCGGCAGGGGGGACCUGACCUACAGCGUGGGCUGCCGCCGGUGCGUGGGGCUGCAGUGUGAGCCGUGCGGGGCCAGCGUGGGCUUCAUGCCCCAGCAGAGCGGGGUGACCGAGCGCACGGUGACCGUGGUUAACCUCCUGGCCAACUCUAACUACACGUUGACGGUCGAGGCCCUCAACGGAGUGUCGGAGCUCCUGCCCAACAAGAGGUUCUACACACAGGUCAACGUGUCAACUAGCGUGCCAGAUCGGCGUUUUGAGCUAAAGACCGAGUUAUCAAUUCCAGGCAGUGUUCAGGAGGAGCACCUGAACACCUUAGCCUCUCACCUAACGCGAGUACUGAAGACGGAGGCCGCCGGCACUCCUCCCAAACGUUCCCGUCGCAUCAGUCUUCUGUGCCACACGCAUCCGACUACAGCAAGUCUUCCUUUUCCUCUUUCUCUUCCUGUUUUCUACAUCCUUUUCGCUUUAAAAUCUCUGAAGCUGAAGACGCACAUCUCCCUCACUAGCUUUAAGCACCAGCUGUCAGAGCAGUUUACAGAUCACUGCACCUGUACACAGCCCAUCUGGAAAUAGCCCAUCUAUCUACCUCAUCCCCAUACUGGUAUUUAUUUAUUUAUUUUGCUCCUUUGCACCCCAGUAUCUCUACCUGCACAUUCAUCUUCUGCCGAUCUACCAUUCCAGUGUUUAAUUGCUAUAUUGUAAUUACUUCGCCACCAUGGCCUAUUUAUUUCCUUAACUUACCUCAUUUGCACUCACUGUAUAUAGACUUUUUGUUUUCUUUUGUUCUACUGCAUUAUUGACUGUAUGUUUUGUUUAUUCCAUGUGUAACUCUGUGUUGUUGUAUGUGUCGAAUUGCUAUGCUUUAUCUUGGCCAGGUCACAGUUGCAAAUGAGAACUUGUUCUCAACUAGCUUACCUGGUUAAAUAAAGGUGAAAUAAAUCAAAUUAAUUUCCUUCUCUCCCAUUAUCUGUGCUGUUUUCUUUCUUUCUUUUCCCCCCUCUCUCCUUCUCUCUGUCGCUUUCCCUCUCUGUUCUUUUUCCCAUG
rnacentral:lncRNA from 1 species